rnacentral:rRNA from 1 species
GCCUAAAAUCUAGCCCCUACACUCAUAUGAUACCACCGAUCCAUUGCCCUAAAUAAAACAUUUUUUUAUUCUAGUACAGGCGACAGAAAAACUUCUAAGCGCUUCAGAUAAAGUACCGCAAGGGAAUAAUGAAAUAGAAAUGAAAUAACCUUAAAGCCCUAAAUAGCAAAGAUAUCCCCUUGUACCUUUUGCAUCAUGGUCUAGCUAGUCUACCCAAGCAAAAUGAAACUUUCAGUUUGACACCCCGAAACUAAGCGAGCUACUUCAAAACAGCCCUAAGAGCUAAUCCGUCUCUGUUGCAAAAGAGUGGAAAGAUUUUCAAGUAGAAGUGAAAAGCCUACCGAGCUUAGAGAUAGCUGGUUGUUCAGGAAAAGAGUUUUAGCUCUACCUUAAGCUUCUCAAUUACACCAAAAACCCCACCAAGCUUAAGAGCCAUUCAAAUAAGGCACAGCUUAUUUGAAAUAGGGCACAACCUCUAAUACCGGGUAAAUAAGGGCAACUUAAACAAAGUAGGCCUAAGAGCAGCCACCUUUAAAAAAGCGUUAAAGCUUAUUUAUAAGCCACCCAUAAUUUCCUAAAUCCCCAUCAACCCUUCACCGCUACUGAACUAUUUUAUAUUCUUUAUAAAAGCUAUAAUGCUAGAACUAGUAACAAGAAAUAGCCAUUCUCCAAAAUGUAAGCUUACACCAAAAUGGACAAUCCAUUGGUAAUUAACGCAAAUGUUGUAAUCACAGCAAUACACCUCUAGAAAACCCUGUGACCUCCUACGUUACCCUUACACUAGAACAUCCCAGGAAAGAUUAAAAGAGAAAGAAGGAACUCGGCAAAUCCUCAGCCCCGCCUGUUUACCAAAAACAUCGCCUCUUGACCAAAUAUAAGAGGUCCAGCCUGCCCAGUGACAAAAUUCAACGGCCGCGGUACCCUAACCGUGCGAAGGUAGCAUAAUCACUUGUUCUCUAAAUAGGGACUAGUAUCAACGGCAUCACGAGGGCUGUACUGUCUCCUUUCUCCAAUCAGUGAAACUGAUCUCCCCGUGAAGAAGCGGGGAUUAUUAUAUAAGACGAGAAGACCCCAUGGAGCUUUAAACUCAUCACUCACUUCCUCACCUCCAUGCCCAACCAUGUAAGGAAUCUGUGUGAUAGUUUUGGGUUGGGGGGACCACGGAGUACAAUUUAACCUCCAUGACAAAUGGGCUAACGCCCUUAUCUAUGAACUACAACUCUAAGAAUCAUAAACUGAUGUUUGAUGACCCGACAAUUCGAUCAACGAACCAAGUUACCCUGGGGAUAACAGCGCAAUCUACUUCAAGAGCCCCUAUCGACAAGUAGGUUUACGACCUCGAUGUUGGAUCAGGGUAUCCUAGGGGUGCAGCAGCUCCUAACGGUUCGUUUGUUCAACGAUUAAAACCCUACGUGAUCUGAGUUCAGACCGGAGCAAUCCAGGUCGGUUUCUAUCUAUAAAGUGCUCCCCCUAGUACGAAAGGACCGGGGCAACAUGGCCAAUGUUUACUAUAAGCCAUACUCUCACUAAUGAAACAAUCUUAAUUAGCUAGAACCUAACACUUCCCCCAAAACCAGGAUA